rnacentral:pre_miRNA from 1 species
GUUAUACUCCCUCCGUUUCAAAUUACUCGUCGCAGAAAUGGAUGUAUCUAAAAUACAUCUAGAUACAUCCAUACCUGCGACAAGUAAUUCGGAACGGAGGGAGUACAUA